CCUGAAAUUCCAAUCUUGCCCCCUACCCCUUGGACACCUUAUCCUCUCUCACGAUUGAAUUAGGCCACGGGCCCCUCAUUCUUUCUCGUCCAAGGACAGCGCUCAUCCUGGCCGGCGCUCUCCCAUCCGCAGCCGGCGAGCUCUCCCAUCCGGCGCUCUCCCAUGUGCCUAGUUCAUGCCCCAAGAAGCUUAUCUCCCCAAGAAGGUGCCUGGAUUGGAAAAGCUACAUCUGGGAUUAGAUGAGGUCAAGAAGAAGAUGAUAGUGAUGAACAAUAGGGAGCCUACAAUAAAUAGAUGAUGUGCUGCUUGUACUGAAGUAGAAUUGAUGUAUUGUUUCCCUAUCAUCGAAAGAUGUUGUCUGUACUAGUAACUAUGCAAUAAAAUGUGGCCAUCUUAUAAUAUGUGUUUUGUAACUGAUGCAAUGAAAUUAUCAAUCUGUACA